rnacentral:rRNA from 1 species
AGUGAACGCUGGCGGUAGGCCUAACACAUGCAAGUCGAACGGCAGCACAGUAAGAGCUUGCUCUUACGGGUGGCGAGUGGCGGACGGGUGAGGAAUACAUCGGAAUCUACUUUUUCGUGGGGGAUAACGUAGGGAAACUUACGCUAAUACCGCAUACGGCCUACGGGUGAAAGCAGGGGAUCUUCGGACCUUGCGCGAUUGAAUGAGCCGAUGUCGGAUUAGCUAGUUGGCGGGGUAAAGGCCCACCAAGGCGACGAUCCGUAGCUGGUCUGAGAGGAUGAUCAGCCACACUGGAACUGAGACACGGUCCAGACUCCUACGGGAGGCAGCAGUGGGGAAUAUUGGACAAUGGGCGCAAGCCUGAUCCAGCCAUACCGCGUGGGUGAAGAAGGCCUUCGGGUUGUAAAGCCCUUUGUUGGGAAAGAAAAGCAGCAGGUUAAUACCCCGCUGUUCUGACGGUACCCAAAGAAUAAGCACCGGCUAACUUCGUG